GAGUUUGAUCCUGGCUCAGGAUAAACGCUGGCGGCGCACAUAAGACAUGCAAGUCGAACGAACUUAAUUUUAAUAUUUAUAUUAAAAAGCGGUUAGUGGCGGACUGGUGAGUAACGCGUAAGCAAUCUGCCUAUCAGAGGGGGAAUAACAGUGAGAAAUCAUUGCUAAUACCGCAUAUGCCAUAAGAAUCACAUGAUUCUAGUGGGAAAGGAGCAAUCCACUGAUAGAUGAGCUUGCGUCUGAUUAGCUAGUUGGUGGGAUAACGGCCUACCAAGGCGACGAUCAGUAGCCGGACUGAGAGGUUGAACGGCCACAUUGGGACUGAGAUACGGCCCAGACUCCUACGGGAGGCAGCAGUCGGGAAUAUUGCGCAAUGGAGGAAACUCUGACGCAGUGACGCCGCGUAUAGGAAGAAGGUUUUCGGAUUGUAAACUAUUGUCGUUAGGGAAGAUAAAGACAGUACCUAGGAGGAGCUCCGGCUAACUACGUGCUAGCCGCCGCCGU
rnacentral:rRNA from 1 species